GUCGGGUUCUUGGUCAUCGCAGGCGAUUAGAGGAAGAGGGCGUUUCUUGAUUUCCAAUAGCUACCUCUGUUCCAACAGCAAGUUGUCUUUGCUAUGGAUUUGUUGGGCUGUGGAUUAAGGACUGUGACGCGAGAUGAGCAACUUGACGUUGGAUUUGGAUCGGAUGCGACCCUUUCUAUUGGAGGCGGGUACC